GUUACAGGGUAAAUGUAGCGUUAGAGGGUAAAUGUGGCGUUAGAGGGUAAAUGUAGCGUUAGAAGGUAAAUGUGGCGUUAGAGUGUAAAUGUGGCGUUAGAGGGUAAAUGUGGCGUUAGAGGGUAAAUGUGGCGUUAGAGGGUAAAUGUAGCGUUAGAGGGUAAAUGUAGCGUUAGAGGGUAAAUGUAGCGUUAGAAGGUAAAUGUAGCGUUAGAGGGUAAAUGUAGCGUUAGAGGGUAAAUGUAGCAUUAGAGGGUAAAUGUAGCGUUAGAAGGUAAAUGUAGCGUUAGAAGGUAAAUGUAGCAUUAGAGGGUAAAUGUAGCGUUAGAGGGUAAAUGUAGCAUUAGAGGGUAAAUGUGGCGUUAGAAGGUAAAUGUAGCAUUAGAGGGUAAAUGUAGCAUUAGAAGGUAAAUGUAGCAUUAGAAGGUAAAUGUAGCAUUAGAGGGUAAAUGUAGCGUUAGAAGGUAAAUGUAGCGUUAGAAGGUAAAUGUAGCAUUAGAGGGUAAAUGUAGCGUUAGAGGGUAAAUGUAGCGUUAGAAGGUAAAUGUAGCAUUAGAGGGUAAAUGUAGCAUUAGAGGGUAAAUGUAGCGUUAGAAGGUAAAUGUAGCGUUAGAGGGUAAAUGUAGCAUUAGAGGGUAAAUGUAGCAUUAGAGGGUAAAUGUAGCGUUACAGGGUAAAUGUAGCGUUAGAGGGUAAAUGUAGCAUUAGAGGGUAAAUGUAGCGUUACAGGGUAAAUGUAGCGUUAGAGGGUAAAUGUGGCGUUAGAGGGUAAAUGUAGCGUUAGAAGGUAAAUGUAGCGUUAGAGGGUAAAUGUAGCAUUAGAGGGUAAAUGUAGCAUUAGAGGGUAAAUGUAGCGUUACAGGGUAAAUGUAGCGUUAGAGGGUAAAUGUAGCAUUAGAGGGUAAAUGUAGCGUUACAGGGUAAAUGUAGCGUUACAGGGUAAAUGUAGCGUUAGAGGGUAAAUGUGGCGUUAGAGGGUAAAUGUAGCAUUAGAGGGUAAAUGUAGCAUUAGAGGGUUAAUGUAGCGUUACAGGGUAAAUGUAGCGUUAGAGGGUAAAUGUGGCGUUAGAGGGUAAAUGUAGC